rnacentral:rRNA from 1 species
AUGGGGCGUGAGCUAACCAGUGCACCGCGAGCCCGAGCCCUGUUGCCGGCCCCUGUGGCCCCGGCCAAUGGAGACAAUGAGGGCUGUGGAGAGGAGAUGGCCUUGACGCUGCCCGACAAUGCAAAAAGCAUCGUUGCUGGCAUGGGCAACGGGCUGACCAAUGCACCGCGAGCUGUGUUGUGGGCCUUCGCUGCUGACAACAAUGACGAAGAGGAGUUGGCCCCCCAGACGCCGCCGACUGUCACCAAAGCCCUCGACUCCGAAGGGAUUUGCAUGGGCCAUGACACAGACACAAGUGAGGGUUGGCAGGAAGUGCUACCGCGGCACGGCCCGCGUCGUUUGACUUCGUCGCCAUCCUCGAUGAUGGCUCCUCGUCCUCCUCGUCCCAUCCCUGCUUGGCUCCAUGGUAGGUGCUGUAGAUGCCUUGCUUAUGGGCAUCGUGCGGUGGUUUGCAGAGAUCCGUUGCGGUGCUCCCGUUGUUUGGAGAAUGGUCAUCGUGCGCGUGAAUGUCGCAACCCCUGGCGUCCUCUGAGCUCAUUUAUCAUGCCUUGA